GCCCCUGUGGCCUAAUGGAUAAGGCAUCGGUUUCCUAAACCGGGAAUUGUGGGUUCGAGUCCCGUCAGGGGUA
rfam:Trachymyrmex septentrionalis contig32827, whole genome shotgun sequence.